CAGUGAAAGAUGAACGAGGAUAGCCAACUCGCCGCACAAAGGGAUACAUCUAUAUCAAAUUUAACUAAUAUUCUACUAAUCGUUGGAAAGAGUCAAGCAAAUACCUCCAACAUCGUGUCCUCCUUCUAUUUGGUAAGCGCUGCUGGCAACACCGAAAAUAAAUCCAUCCGGAAAAUGGUAUUUUUCCGAGUCGAUCACAACACUGGAAUCAUUCAUUUCUACUUCAUUAAGAAAA